rnacentral:rRNA from 1 species
AGAGUUUGAUCAUGGCUCAGAACGAACGCUGGCGGCAGGCCUAACACAUGCAAGUCGAGCGCCCCGCAAGGGGAGCGGCGGACGGGUGAGUAACACGUGGGAAUUUUCCUCAAGGUACGGAACAACUCAGGGAAACUUGGGCUAAUACCGUAUGAUGCAGAGAUGCCAAAGAUUUAUCGCCUUGGGAUAAGCCCGCGUCAGAUUAGGUAGUUGGUGGGGUAAUGGCCUACCAAGCCUGUGAUCUGUAGCUGGUCUGAGAGGACGAUCAGCCACAUUGGGACUGAGACACGGCCCAAACUCCUACGGGAGGCAGCAGUGGGGAAUCUUGCGCAAUGGGCGAAAGCCUGACGCAGCCAUGCCGCGUGAAUGAUGAAGGUCUUAGGAUUGUAAAGUUCUUUCGCCCGUGACGAUGAUGACGGUAACGGGAGAAGAAGCCCCGGCUAACUUCGUGCCAGCAGCCGCGGUAAUACGAAGGGGGCUAGCGUUGUUCGGAAUUACUGGGCGUAAAGCGCGCGUAGGCGGUUUUGCAAGCCAGAGGUGAAAUGCCCGAGCUCAACUUGGGAAUUGCCUUUGGGACUGUGAGGCUUUGAGGACGAGAGAGGUGAGUGGAAUUCCCAGUGUAGAGGUGAAAUUCGUAGAUAUUGGGAAGAACACCAGUGGCGAAGGCGGCUCACUGGCUCGUUUCUGACGCUAAAGCGCGAAAGCGUGGGGAUCAAACAGGAUUAGAUACCCUGGUAGUCCACGCUGUAAACGAUGAGUGCUAGGCGUCGGCAGGCUUGCCUGUCGGUGCCGCAGCUAAC